UUGGCAAACUUUCAGAAAUGUAAGGGCGCAAAACUUGGAGUCUAAGGUGAGGAUUUCGUGUGAAGUUCACGAAUAUAUAUAAUUCACUAUGAUAGUUCGGUUGC
rnacentral:ncRNA from 1 species